rnacentral:snRNA from 1 species
GUAGCUUCUUGGCCUUUUGGCUAAGAUCAAGUGUAGUAUCUGUUUUUAUCAGUAUUAACAUUCCAAUAUUAAUGUUUGCUUUUUCCAAAGAAUCAAGAAGCAUUAACCUUU